rnacentral:lncRNA from 1 species
UUACUUUCAUUUGCAAAUGAAAAAAUGAAGGUUCAGGGAGAUUAAUUUGCCCCACUAACAUAUGACAAAAACCAAAUCCAAGAUUGAGAUCAGGUGUGACUGAUUUCAAAUCCUUCCCUUCUGGGAUGCAGUCUCCCUGAGGGAAAUAAAUGAGAAGCAUAACAGCAGACCUACCAGCCCUAUCAUAUGACCAGCCCUACCCUGAUCCCUUGCUAAAAGCUUAGGUAGGCGUGAUCAAUAAUGGUGCACUUUUUCCAACUGAGAUUCUAAAGAAGCUUCUGAAUCCUUCUCAACAUGUCAUGCCAAACAGCCACUUCCCAUCAUUUAGAAUCUUGAUGAAAAAUGAAGCUAUUUGCCAUCUCUGAGUUGUGAUGCCCAUUAGGCAUUCAGACCCUUUGAACAACAUUUUGAAAUCCUUCCCCAAAGUUUCAUUGACUGUGGUCUUUUGGGUUUUUUCUCUGAGCACUAUCUCCAGUAAGGCUGAAAUUAAGACUUCAGGAUGACAGUCUCACACAUUUCAAGUGCAAGUACUAUUAUAAGAAUUAUAUAUCUCAAACACCAUGAUCAAAGCUUCCUGGUGUCACUGGGUAAGAUACCUUUCAUAAAACAUGGAUUAUCUUACACUAGAAUGCCUUCUUAUCUCAUUGUAAUUUUUGUGAAGUUGUACCCUAAAUCUGGAAUCCUUCAGAAAAAAAUGCCAGCCCCAUGAGAACUAUCAUAAAGUAGACAUGAAAUCCACAAUUCUUCUAACUGCCCUUUCUAGAUUUUGUUUCUGAGAAAGAUUGCUUCUUAAUUGCUUUUUCCUGCAAGAAUAUUCUGUAGUUCACACAAGUUUGUAUGUAAGGAAGACAGAACUGAAGAGCUUGGGUUUUUUUUCUCUCUUGCAUGAAAAUUAGAAUAUUUAUGCUGUUAAGAAAGUGCAGGAGAGUCUGUCCAUGAUGGAGCUAUUCUCCUAUCUGUCCUAAAUGAGACUGGUAAAUUUUAAGAGGGAGAAAAGAAUUCUUCCCGGUUCCCUAGGGGGACUGCAGAUUUACUGACAACCAAAAGAUGGAUGGGUAGUGCUUUUAUUCAUUCUAUUGUCUGUCAGUCAACAACUCUGACUUCUCAUCACCCAAACAAAAGUGAACAUGUGUGUGGUUUUGCACUCUCUAUUCAGUGAAAGCUGUCAUUGUGGACCAGUUGUCUCUCACCACAACAAAGCACUCUUCUUGUUUAUCCCAGUCACAUCCCAUCAUGGGGGAGAGAAAAGAUGCCUGAAGGGCUUUGGAGGCAGAAAUGACCUCUAGUCCCUGAGGGAAGGGCAGGCUUAUUCCAUGACCAGGUGUCCUUCCCUACAGGGAGAUAGAUAUUUAGGCAGUCCAGCCACUCCUAAGACAGGACUACAGUGGGAACAGCAGGCAAACUGGACCAACGGGGUAGAUACUUUAUCUGGUCACAUUUGCUAUAAUGAAAUGGUGACUGGGAGUCAAGAAAAUCAUUAAUCUAGGAAAGGUGUGUAAGCAUAAAAUUUGAAUCUGGAAGAAAAAUCUUUUUGUUGACUAGAUUUAAUUUCAGAUGUUACAUACAUUUAUUCAAUGAAUACCUUAUUUUGUUCGUUCUAAGACACAUAUUUUUCUACAAUUUAACAUCUCCAAAAUAUGAAUACACAUUAUAAUUGAUCAUCUGUCAUAGUUUACUUGGCAGUAUUUUUUAUUGGUGGUAUAUAAAAUAAUGGUGCAUCUUACAAUCUACUGCAUCAUAGAUUUCAUGAAGUAUUGUUAACAUGGCCAAGUACUAUGCCGGUAACUUCAUUGUAGUUAGAAGCUUUAUUGAGAUACCACACAAUUCACCCAAUUAAGAUAUACAAUCAAUGAAAACAUUGUAUAUUCACAGAGUUUUGCUACAUCACCACAAUUUUAGAAUAUUUUUAUUGUCCCGUAACGAAACCCAUUUCCACUUUAUCCAACCCAGGCUGCUCUAGAAAGCAGCAAUAAUUAUGCUUCUUAGCCCUAGAUUUGCCUAUUCUGGACAUUCAUAGAAAUGAAAUCACUUUUGUGUUUGGCUUCUUUCAUUUAACAUGAAGUUUUGAAGGUUCAUACAUGUUGUAGCAUGUAUACUGAUUAUUUAUUUUUAUGGACAAGUUAUUCUAUUGUAUGGAUAUACUAUUUUUUAUUUAUCCAUUCAUCAAUUGAUGGAUAUUUGGAUUGUUUCCACAUUUUGGCUCUUAUGAAUAAUGAUGCUAUGGACAUUGGUGAACGAGGUUUUGUGUGGGAAUAUGUUUUUAUUUCUCUUGGGUAUAUAUCUAGAAGUGGAAUUGCUAGGUCAAGUGGUAACUCUGUAUUUAACUUUUUGAGGACCUACCAAACUACCAAAGUGACUACAUCAGUUUAUAUUCCUACAAACAACAUAUGAGGGUUUGGUCCCUGGCCUCUCUCAGCAGGUUAAGGAUCACACUUUGCUGUGGCUGUGGUGUAGGCCAGCAGCUGUAGCUCUGAUUGGUCCCCUGGCCUAGGAGCCUCCAUAUGCUAUGGAUGUGGCCCUAAAAAGCAAAAACAAACAAAACAAAUAUUUUACCAUAUUCUAAGCAAAUGGGAGACUGAUUAUAUUAAUGGCCCCAAUUCUUCACUCUUUUCUGUAUCCAGACCCUUUGCCAACUAAUUUGGUGCUUGGUAGGACCAAUUUGGUAGUACCCUCUUAUUUGGACUCAGAACUUAGCCAUAUGUCUUGCUUUGUCCAAUAAGAUGUUAGGACAUCAUACCCAAGCUAGCCCACUGAAGGAUGAACUAUGUGGUGAAGGACUGAAUUGCCCCAUUCUCCCAACCAAAACUAUCCUAGAUCAGCCAAUAUCCAAGAAACCCCAAUACAUGUGAGUGAACCCAUAAAAUUUGACGAAGCUGUCUAAUUGACUUGCAGCCAACCACGGACACAUGAACAAAUUCAUCUCAGAUCAUCCAAACCCCUAAGACUCAUGAGCUAAAUAAAUGUUUAAUGUUAUUUGCCACUGAGAGUUUGUGAUUGUUUUGUAGCGCUAUUAUAGGACCAGAUAACUAGUACAAGACGGUAUCUUAAGUAUUGAGAAAAGGACAAUGAGAGACAUAGUUCCUAUAUUCAGGGCACCAUACUGAAUGAGUC